rnacentral:rRNA from 1 species
AGAUCCUCAAGACGAUGACGGGUAGCCGGCCUGAGAGGGCGACCGGCCACACUGGGACUGAGACACGGCCCAGACUCCUACGGGAGGCAGCAGUGGGGAAUAUUGCACAAUGGGCGAAAGCCUGAUGCAGCGACGCAGCGUGAGGGAUGACUGCCUUCGGGUUGUAAACCUCUUUCAGUAGGGAAGAAGCGAAAGUGACGGUACCUGCAGAAGAAGCGCCGGCUAACUACGUGCCAGCAGCCGCGGUAAUACGUAGGGCGCAAGCGUUAUCCGGAAUUAUUGGGCGUAAAGAGCUUGUAGGUGGCUUGUCGCGUCUGCCGUGAAAACCCGAGGCUCAACCUCGGGCGUGCGGUGGGUACGGGCAGGCUAGAGUGUGGUAGGGGAGACUGGAACUCCUGGUGUAGCGGUGAAAUGCGCAGAUAUCAGGAAGAACACCGAUGGCGAAGGCAGGUCUCUGGGCCAUUACUGACACUGAGAAGCGAAAGCAUGGGUAGCGAACAGGAUUAGAUACCCUGGUAGUCCAUGCCGUAAACGUUGGGCACUAGAUGUGGGGGACAUUCCACGUUUUCCGCGUCGUAGCUAACGCAUUAAGUGCCCCGCCUGGGGAAGUACGGACAAACAA